AGCGAACGCUGGCGGCAGGCCUAACACAUGCAAGUCGAACGGACCCUUCGGGGUUAGUGGCGGACGGGUGAGUAACACGUGGGAACGUGCCUUUAGGUUCGGAAUAGCUCCUGGAAACGGGUGGUAAUGCCGAAUGUGCCCUUCGGGGGAAAGAUUUAUCGCCUUUAGAGCGGCCCGCGUCUGAUUAGCUAGUUGGUGAGGUAACGGCUCACCAAGGCGACGAUCAGUAGCUGGUCUGAGAGGAUGACCAGCCACACUGGGACUGAGACACGGCCCAGACUCCUGCGGGAGGCAGCAGUGGGGGAUCUUGCGCAAUGGGCGGAAGCAUGACGCAGCCAGGCCGCGUGAAUGAUGAAGGUCUUAGGAUUGUAAAAUUCUUUCACCGGGGACGAUAAUGACGGUACCCGGAGAAGAAGCCCCGGCUAACUACGUG
rnacentral:rRNA from 1 species